rnacentral:rRNA from 1 species
AGUGAACGCUGGCGGUAGGCCUAACACAUGCAAGUCGAACGGCAGCACAGUAAGAGCUUGCUCUUACGGGUGGCGAGUGGCGGACGGGUGAGGAAUACAUCGGAAUCUACUUUUUCGUGGGGGAUAACGUAGGGAAACUUACGCUAAUACCGCAUACGACCUACGGGUGAAAGCAGGGGAUCUUCGGACCUUGCGCAAUUGAAUGAGCCGAUGUCGGAUUAGAUAGUUGGCGGGGUAAAGGCCCACCAAGGCGACGAUCCGUAGCUGGUCGGAGAGGAUGGUCGGCCACACUAGAACUUGAACACGGUCCAGGCGACUACGGGAGGGAGCAGUGGGGAAUAUUGGACAGUAGGCGCAAGCCUUGCCCAGCCAGACCGCGUGGGUGAAGAAGGCCUUCGGGUUGUAAAGCCCUUUUGUUGGGAAAGAAAAGCAGCAGGUUAAUACCCCGCUGUUCUGACGGUACCCAAUGAAUAAGCACCGGCUAACUUCGUG